UACGUAGGGUGCGAGCGUUAAUCGGAAUUACUGGGCGUAAAGCGUGCGUAGACGGUUAUGUAAGUCAGAUGUGAAAGCCCCGGGCUUAACCUGGGAAUGGCAUUUGAGACUGCAUAGCUAGGGUGCGGAAGAGGGAAGCGGAAUUUCCGGUGUAGCGGUGAAAUUCGUAGAUAUUCGCAAGAACACCGGGUGGCGAAGGCGGCCACCUGGACGGCACUGACGCUGAGACGCGAAAGCGUGGGUAGCAAACAGG
rnacentral:rRNA from 1 species